AAUUGGCAAUUACAAUUCAAAACUGAGUCAGCAGGCCUCGUUUGCUGGAAAAGUGACCAAAGAUGAAGUGAAGUAUGAGGACUUGGUUCAUAAUCUUAUGAGUUUGAGGUUAGCAAUUAUUCUACAAGUGGUUCUGCUUGCUUUUAUCGUAUUUCUAUGGCGUUUUGGUUGCCGUUCCAGAUCUAAAAGGAGGCGUACAAUUGAACUGAAGGAGAUCUAGCUAUUUAACUGAUACUGAACUGUGGUAUAUUUUCACAACAAUGUUAAGAAUAGUGGUACAUGAAACUAAUGGAAAUAACAUACUAAUAACAUACUAAUGCUACUGUUGAAGUACACUGCUAAGAAUGCCAGGCAAGAGAAGUUUAUCCUAGGAAACAUAUAUUGAUGGGAGAUAGCCAAUGACAAGGAUUCAGCCAAAGUCUCAAAUUUGUUUGUUCUCUCAUAAGAACAAUGCACAUUGAAGAAUUCAUUAGUCAAUGUAGUAAGAAUGAUGGGUGCACAAGUCUUAUUUCAAGAAAUUCAAUCCUCUAUCUUGUUAGGCUCCACCGAUAAUCUGGUUUGGGAUUCUACCAAGAAUUUCAACUCCAUGCAUGUCAAGGAUGGAGAGAACCCACUCUUGCCAUCGCGUGACUAAUUGAUUUUAAUUGUUAUAGGUUAGGCUGCCUAUAUUAUAUACCCUUUGGGUGCGGUCCUUCUUUGGAUCUUGUAUUAAUGCGGGAUACUUGUGCACGAGGCUGCCAUUUUUUAUUUGUUUUUAUUUCAAUGUUCAAAGCGAAAGGGAACCUUGGUGGAACGUUGAAUUGUCUCCGUGUGCAAAGUCACGGGUUCAAACAUUGGAAUCAAUCACUGUUGCAUUUAUUUGGUUAUGCUAUCUAAAUUACACCUCUAGGCACGCUCCUUCCUUAGACCUUGCUUAAUGCGGGAUGCUUAUGCACUGAAAUGUCUUUUUGCCCUUUUAUUUCAAUGUUCAGAGCAUAGCCAUUUUGAUUAAAGUUGUAUAUGUGUUUUUGUAACAUUACGAGAUUUUAUAAUUUCAUCCUCUUAUUUUA